CUUUGAAUAUGCGCUAGCACCAGCACCUACUUUGUAUUGAUACACAUACAUGAAUACGUUUAUUUACUGCGCAGUUUGCGACUUUUCGCUCAAUUCAAACAAAUAUUUCAUCAAAAUUUAUCGUAGCCCUGGACAACUUUGCCUCUACCCGGCGCUAUGGCCUGGUUUCGUAAGACAGAGGAGGCAAAACGUGAAAAGGGCCCGCAAUCAUCGGAAAGCCGAAUCAGUGAGCCCCAACUGCCAGCGACUGCAGAGCGGGGGGCCGAAAAAGAAGAAGAAGACGACGAGCAAGCAGAAAGCGAACUUACAACACCGACUUCACCGUCCAAGGAAACAGGGUUAUUCAAUUCAAGAUUUCAGGGACUGUUAGCCCCGGUCUUUACUUGUUUCAAGGACGAUGAUCGUAGAUCUCUGGACGUGCGUCCCAUUAAUCGGUAUGCGGAAUGGCUACGCAGUCAAAUGAUUUCGGGAGUCCUAAUCAAUGGCGUCGUCGGCGAGGGUCCAAUGAUGCGUGUGCGCGAACGCAAGGCGAACUGCGAAUAUUGGCAGCGUGCCGCCGUCCGGCAUAAUCUGAUGAUAAUGGUUCAGGUAGGUGGAGCGCCGCUGCCCGAUGUCCUCUCGCUGGCCGCCCACGCCGAGCUGGUACGCGUUAGCGGCGUUGUCACACUACCUGAGCUGUUCUAUCGUCCGCACAAUGUGGAUCAAUUGGUUCAAUAUUGCCUGAAUGUUUCCAGCCGUUGCCCAACCCGACCAUUCUUCUACUAUCACAUGCCCUCGAUGACGGGCGUGGAGCUAGACAUGGUUGAGUUCUGCUCGAAGGCCGAAAAGUGCAUACCGAAUUUUAUGGGUCUUUACUAUGCCAGCGCCGAUCUGGAGAUGGGUCAGCGCUGUUUGCGCUUCGGACGUGUCGUCAUGCUGGCAUCCACGGCAUUGCUGGCCAGCGGCCUCAUGUCCGGCUUCAAUUGCAGCAGUCUGGUCGUUGUUAACAUUCGCCCCGAUCUGGUGCACAGGAUUUGCGACGCCUUCGACGACAACGAGCUGCAGCUGGCCAGGGACGUUCAGAGGGAGCUAAAUCAACUCAUCGAGAUACACACGCACGACUGCCAAAUGGAGUACUGGGUGGUUUCCAUGAAGAAUUGGUUUAACAAAGAGUUCGGCUCACGGCAAGUUGGCAACUUUUGCGCUGGCCCGGCACGGAUUAUACGCUAGGAUCACUUUCACUUCAACUGUUCAAAUAAUUCAUAUUGUGUAUCAAAAUUGUCUCAGCAACUUUUAUGAUGACUGGACCGAUUGACUGAUGGACGGACUGAUUUGUGUUGAUUACUCAAAGCAGGAUAGCUAAUGGGAUAUUUUCCAAUAUCAAAUAUAAUAAGUACA
rnacentral:misc_RNA from 1 species